rnacentral:siRNA from 1 species
UGUGAACAUGUGAACUAGAAUUC